rnacentral:rRNA from 1 species
UACAGAGGUCUCAAGCGUUGUUCGGAUUCAUUGGGCGUAAAGGGUGCGUAGGCGGCGCGGUAAGUCGGGUGUGAAAUCUCGGAGCUUAACUCCGAAACUGCAUUCGAUACUGCCGUGCUUGAGGACUGGAGAGGAGACUGGAAUUUACGGUGUAGCGGUGAAAUGCGUAGAUAUCAUGAGGAAGACCAGUGGCGAAGGCGGGUCUCUGGACAGUUCCUGACACUGAGGCACGAAGGCCAGGGGAGCAAACGGG